AAAGGUGCCUGGCACGGGAGAUACCAUGAUCACUAAGAUGGGUACUCAAGGCAAUGUGCUGGCCGUUGUGAUUUCCCCAAAUGUUGGAAAGGUGACUGCAUAAUUUGUUAGUGGGGGGCUGAGUUUGUACUCUCUCUUU
rnacentral:snRNA from 1 species